rnacentral:rRNA from 1 species
AUUGAACGCUGGCGGCAUGCCUUACACAUGCAAGUCGAACGGCAGCACGGGAGCAAUCCUGGUGGCGAGUGGCGAACGGGUGAGUAAUAUAUCGGAACGUGCCCAGUCGUGGGGGAUAACGUAGCGAAAGCUACGCUAAUACCGCAUCCGAUCUAUGAAUGAAAGCGGGGGAUCGCAAGACCUCGCGCGAUUGGAGCGGCCGAUAUCAGAUUAGGUAGUUGGUGAGGUAAAGGCUCACCAAGCCGACGAUCUGUAGCUGGUCUGAGAGGACGACCAGCCACACUGGGACUGAGACACGGCCCAGACUCCUACGGGAGGCAGCAGUGGGGAAUUUUGGACAAUGGGCGCAAGCCUGAUCCAGAAAUGCCGCGUGCAGGAUGAAGGCCUUCGGGUUGUAAACUGCUUUUGUACGGAGCGAAAAGGCUUCCACUAAUACUGGGGGCUCAUGACGGUACCGUAAGAAUAAGCACCGGCUAACUACGUGCCAGCCGCCGCCGUAAAAC